rnacentral:rRNA from 13 species
AGCUAAUUAAGGGCGUAUGGGGGAUGCCUAGGCUCCCAGAGGCGAUGAAGGACGUGAUAAGCUGCGAAAAGCUGCGGGGAGGUGCACAUAACUUGUGAUCCGCAGAUAUCCGAAUGGGGCAACCCGGCUGGUUGAAGGCCAGUCAUGCUGUUUACAGCAAGCGAACCCGGUGAACUGAAACAUCUAAGUAGCCGGAGGAGGAGAAAACAAGAGUGAUUCCGAGAGUAGCGGCGAGCGAAAUCGGAGAAGCCCAAACCAAUGUUGUUUCGGCAAUAUUGGGGUUGUAGGACCGCGAUAUUCGAUGUAAAACUGAACUGGAACGAGCUGGAAAGUUGGACCAUAGGGGGUGAUAGUCCCGUACAGGCAAGGUUUUAUUAUUGAUAGCGGUAUCCUGAGUAGCGCGGGGCACGUGAAACCCUGUGUGAAUCUGGCGGGACCAUCCGCCAAGGCUAAAUACUCCUGGGAGACCGAUAGUGAACUAGUACCGUGAGGGAAAGGUGAAAAGAACCCCGAACAGGGGAGUGAAAUAGAACCUGAAACCGGAUGCGUACAAGCAGUCAGAGCCCGCAAGGGUGAUGGCGUACCUUUUGUAUAAUGGG